GUUUGUUAUUUUCAGAUAAACGUAAAGAAUAAGAUGGCAAGCAUGCUUGGAUUUUUCUGAGGAUUGUUCCUGUCAGAUUGUAGGAUGAAUAUGAGUGAGGGUAAACCCUAGGGAAUCCAAUAAUUUGGCUGAUUAAGGAUCUGAUUCUGGUUUGGGAAAUCCCAGGGAAAACCAGAAGAUGGCUGAUAUAGGAUCUAAAAGGGGAAAUCCCAGGGAAAACCAGAAGAUGGCUGAUCUAGGAUUUAAAAGGGGAAAUCCCAGGGAAACCCAGAAUAUGGCUGAUAUAGGAUCUAAAAGGGGAAAUCCCAGGGAAAACCAGAAGAUGGCUGAUCUAGGAUUUAAAAGGGGAAAUCCCAGGGAAAACCAGAAGAUGGCUGAUAUAGAAUCUAAAAGGGGAAAUCCCAGGGAAAAGCAGAAUUUGGCUGAUCUAGAAUCUGAUCGGGGAAAUCCCAGGAAAAAACUGAAGAUGGCUGAUCAAGGAUCUGGUGUGGGAGUUUCUAAAAAAUCCAAUAAUAUGGCUAAUCAAGGGUUCUGUGGGGUAAAACCUGCUGAAACGAUGGCUGAUGAAGAUUGCUUGACAAUGACAACUAUCGCAAAAGAACUGAUGAGAAAGAAUCAAAGUAUUAAAGAUUUUGCUGUCCCUGUCUGCCUAGAUGAGUUGAGAAGAAAGGAUGGUAAAACAAAAAUAAACAAAGAGCUUCUUGAGAAUUGGAUUGAGAAUGGGAUAAAAGAGGGGCUCAAAUACUAUCAAUCUAUCUUCUCAGGAAUAGUGACACAAGUUUGCCAAAUCAUUCAGAUUCUCAGAAAGUAUAUUUCUGACAACAACAAUAUUACAGGAAAUAUCGUUCCUCCAAAGCGUAUUACAAGAGAUAUAGGAAUGUACGUCGAUCUCAGUCAUCUAAAUCCAAAGAAGAAAAAGGAUAAACAACGUAAAUCCGGGAAGGAGAAUUCUAUUACAGACAAACAGAAUUCCAUGGAAAAGAAGGAUGAGCAAUCUACUGAUGAAAAGAGGAGCUCAAGUUCAUCUGAGACAAGGGCUAGUGGUACUUCAAGUGCCCCUACUCCCAUGACCUUAAACCCAAAAGAAACAUCUGUAAAAACAACUAACCGCUUAUCAACUUUGCUUCCUGCUACUCCUGUUCCAGGCAAAUCUACCCCUUUACCAUCUCUUUCAAUCAUUCCCGUGGUGACUUUAAAAGAAUCUCAGAAGUCAGAAUCUCAAGAAUGUUGCUCUCCUUCUCACCCUGCAACAUCAAAUUCAUUAAUAAAAUCUGAACUUUCAGGGCCAUCUUCCACAGAAAUAGUAUCCAAUUUAGUUGACACAUCUGAUAUCAAACCUUUAUCUGGACUAUUAAGAGAUCCAUUUCAACCAGAUGAAUGUUUUCCAGAUAUACCCAAUGUACUGGUUACCUGCCCUGGUUCACUAGAUGCAGAACCUGUAAUAAAUCUAAACAUUAAACUGGAGGAUUGUGAAGUGGAAGAACCUCAAACCACACAGAUUCAGGACUCCCCAAUCUUCUCACUACCUGAUCAUACUUCCCUCUUAGGAACCAGAUCUGAUUCUAUGGAUUGUGUUGAUCGAGAAAGUGCAAACUUGAAAAACAUUCAAAAUAUUGACAUCCAAAGUGUUUUAGAAAGGAAUCUAUUGUUGAUGACCAAGAAUAGUAUUAAAAGAAAGGGAACUCAGAUUGAAGAUGUCCCAGAAGCAAAAAGAGUUAAACCUGCUGACAUCCAAACAUCCAACAAGAAAUUUUCCCCUCAGAGAAAUGAAGAGAGAACUAACAGUAUUGACGCUAUUGAUGAUGUAUUGCCUUACACUAAAUGUUUAAGAUGCUUCCAAUUUUUCAAGACUGAAGAUUACCUCACCCAUGCACAGACCGAGCAUGAUUAUAACUGUUCAGGAUGCAACUACAGUUUUCCUAGCACUGGACAGGAAAAUGCUCAUAUAAUUUUACAGCAUAGAUUUCAAUGCAGCAUGCAAUUUGCCAAAGAUACCCAACUAACUGUACAAACAGAAUCUUUUAUCAAUGCAAUGUCAAAUAAAGUUCUUCCUGAAGAAUCUGAAGAGACUGUGUCCAAGGCUAGCAGUAAGCUGAAAAGGAAGAAUCCAAGGAGGAAAGAAGAAGUAAAUUCACUAAAUCGACAAAGUGAAGCGAAAAAAUCGUCUGAAACUUUAAAUCAUGUUCUGACAGACCAUUGCUAUAUACCAAGCAUACAGAUCAAAACAAUUCUGGGCCCUACAUCUUCUGACACUGAUUCAGUUUGUAGCAUGAACGAAUACUUUGAUAAAUCUGAACAAAUCCUAGAUAAAUUCAAUAUUUGUAACAUUCAGAAUUAUGUGCUAGCACAAGAUACGGAACCUGUCAUGUCAGCAGGCAUUGAUGAAUCAUCUGUUUUAGACGAGAUACUACAAAAUGAAAUUAAUAGGUCGAACCGUAUGGAAUCUACAAUCAGUCCCUACUUUUCGUCCAGUGUAUCCCAACUUUCCAGAAGUAACACAAGGGAAUUAUCUAUGGCUAUGGGCCUAUCUCAUCUACCUUCAAGCCAACCCUCUAUAGCAGAAAAUAAAUCAAAAAUGCCAAUCACUGAUGACUCUUUGUCAGAAUGCAAUUCCUUGUUGCUAGUCAGCCAAUCUUCUACACAAAUGAAGAAACCUGCUUUGGAUCCUAUUUCACUGCCUGAAGUAAUCUCAUCUCCCACACAAGACUUAUCCUUACAACCUGUUGAUGCACAGCUAGGUUUAUCUGGACAAACUGAUCAGGCACAGAUAAACAUUUCUAAAGAAUUAGACGAUCAAGCUUUAGACUUAUCUGUCAAGCAGAACACAGCUGCGAAGGUUACAGCUCCUGAAAAUGCUUCCUCUAAAGCAGCAAUUAAUGUUAAAUCUGCGACAGUGGCAAAAGACGAUGCAGCAAAUAAAGCCAGGGCUAAUGCAUUUAUCAAUGCAAUAACUACUGCCAUUGGUAAGAUAAGAACUGGAGCUGAAAUUGUUGCUGAGCUGAAACCUGUUGCUGAAUCAAACAUUGUUGAAGAAGUGAAUAAAGCUGCAGAAGCCAAUAAAGUAGUAGAAGAAACCAUUAAUGAGGUAAAAAUUCCUUCUAAAGCAAAGACGGACCUUGAAUCCAAAACAAGAAUAUCUAACAGAGAAGAAACAAAUCCUGAAAUAAAAUUAAGUAAUGAAGCAUCCGGAUAUGCAGAUGAAAUAGCUCCUGAAUCACCCUUAGUGAAAGCUAGAAUAGCUUCUGAAUCAGUAGUUGAAACUGAAAUAGCUUUUGAAUCCGUAUUUGAAGACAAAAAAGCUCUUGAUUCCAAAGUCGAAGGUAAAAUAGCUCCUGAUUCCGUAGAUGAAGGUAAUUUAGAUCCUGAAUCAGAAGUUGAAGCUAAAAUAGAUUCGGAACCCAUAGUUGAAGAUAAAAUAGCUCCUGAAUCUGGUUUUGAAGAUAAGAUAACUCUUGAAUCCGUAGUUGAAGGCAAAUUAAAUCCUAAAUCAGUAGUUGAUGAUAAAAUAGAUUCUGAACCCACAGAUGAAGAUACGAGAGCUCCUGAAUCCGGAGUAGUUGAAGCCGAAAUAGCUCCUGAAUCCAGAGUUAAAACUAAAACAUUCUCUGAAUCUCGAGGUAAAACUAAAAUAGUGGCUGAAUCCAGAGUUGAAACUAAAGCAUCGACUGAAUCCAGAGUUAAAACUAGAGUUAAUUCUAAACUUAUAUCUAAACCAAAAGUUCCAACACAUAAAGAAGAAACCCAAAAAGAUAAUACACGAGCGAAAUCAAGUUUAAAUCAACUCACUAGUUCUCAAACAGAUAAGAAAGUCAAGCUAGCCAAGAAAACUUUGUCAAGUAAAUCAGUUAGUUCGUCAGCACUUGACAAAAAACCAGAUUUAUCAUCAUCAUCUAGUGGUAAAAAACCAGAUUUAUCAUCAUCAUCUAGUGGUAAAAAACCAGAUUUAUCAUUAUCAUCAUCUAGUGGUAAAAACCCAACUGAACCGGUACCUGAACUUUCUGCUUCAGUUGCAAGUGAACCGAAUCAUAUUCAACUUGUGUGGGAUAUCAAGAGUUUCAACGAGAAGACCUUUUCAAAGAUAACUUAUUUCAACCUCAAGUAUUGCAAGGUUGGUGAGAAGAAUAAAGAUGGACAAAUUGAUUUGACUGAUUUCAAGAAGACACCUCCUAUACCUGCGAACGGUAAACCUAGUGGACAAUGUGAGAUUGGUCCACUUGGUGCAGGACAUUAUAUCUUCAAAAUCAGAAGUGUGGAUGAGAAUGGAGGGAAGAGCAAAUUCUCAGAAAGAGCAUUUUUCCAGAUCAAAUAAGAUAGUUUUGAAACAUUUUGUUUGUUUAGUUCGAACAGUAUCUUGAAAAGAGCAUUGGGGUUUAUCCUUUGUUCUCUAAAUAUUACUUUACUCCAUUUAUCGUUCUUUUUAAAACUCUUAUAUUCAAACCCUUACAAUCAAGCAACAUAUGUUUUACAAAAUAGUUCUCCUAGAUUAAUGGGUUUAAUUUAGGAAGAAGUCUCAUUAUGGUUAAGUUUUCAGUUUUUUACCAUUUGAUAUCGUCUAAAUGCCUUUUCAAUAUGGUAAAUUGCUAAUUGUGCCUUUGAUUGUUCCAUGAUGUGAUCAGAAAGUAAUCUGAAAAAUUUACUUUUUCUACCGUAUAUUAUAAUUAUUAAUGUAUGCGGGAUUAUCAGAAUAAGAGAAAUUUAUUGUAAUGUUGUUAAACGAAUAAAUAUAUUUUUGAAGAUUUAAA
rnacentral:misc_RNA from 1 species